GGGGCUAUAGCUCAGGCGGUUAGAGCGCUUCACUGAUAAUGAAGAGGUCCCAGGUUCAAGUCCUGGUAGCCCACCCU
rnacentral:tRNA from 1 species